AUCACCUGGGAUCUUGUUAAAAUGCAGAUUCUGAGAAUAAAAUGCAGGAGCCUGAGAUUCAGCAUUUCUAACAAGCUCCCAGGUGCUGCCAG
rnacentral:pre_miRNA from 1 species